UACGUAGGGUGCGAGCGUUGUCCGGAAUUAUUGGGCGUAAAGAGCUCGUAGGCGGUCUGUCGCGUCGGUCGUGAAAACCUGCAGCUUAACUGUGGGCUUGCGGUCGAUACGGGCGGGCUAGAGUUCGGCAGGGGAGACUGGAAUUCCUGGUGUAGCGGUGGAAUGCGCAGAUAUCAGGAGGAACACCGGUGGCGAAGGCGGGUCUCUGGGCCGAUACUGACACUGAGAAGCGAAAGCGUGGGGAGCGAACAGG
rnacentral:rRNA from 1 species